rnacentral:lncRNA from 10 species
GAAGAGCUUUUUACGGCCAUCUACAGGUAACACCCAUCACUUUGAAACCAACAACUCAGAUAAGAUUCUGUUUAUUUUUAAAGGACUUAGGAAACCCAAUCCAUUUACUCAAAUGGCACAACCCAGGAGGAAGCUGCCAUUUAAUUUAAAAUAACAUCCCCUAUCCCCACUACUACCCCAGAUUUUGCUCAUCUGAUGUUUAAAUUGAUCAAAUUCCUGAGGAGGUGCAACGUGACCCUUCCUUCGAAAGGACUACUCACAAACUCAGUGUUUAUGUAGAAAAUGGAGCCACCGCGCCCGACCUCAGUAUUUUCUUAUCUUUCUCCUAAGCCUUUUUGUUUUCUGAGGCUAGGUCUGCAGGUGACUAGCCUGGAAGACCUGGGAAAGGCGUGACCCAUCCAGGUGACCUUUUGUGCCCAGAAUAGGUUUAGUCAAAUGGGAUUGGAUUGCAGGCUGACCUCGGUGUGCCUGCCCUGUGUUCCAGGGGAUUUCUUCAAAGACCCUCUUCCG